UGAAGUCUGGCAGGGGAGAUACCUUGAUCAUGAAGGUGGUUUUCCCAGGGUGAGGCUCAUCCAUUGCACUCCGGGUGUGCUGACCCCUGUGAUUUCCCAGAAUGUGGGAAACUCAACUGCAUAAUUUGUGGCUUUUGAUAUUGUUGACCUACAGCAUCCUC